GUGGACGUCCCGGUGUGGCUAGAUGAACACCUGGGCUGCUGCCGUUGUGUGCCUCGUUGGGUGCUGUGUGGUUGCGCGGAUUGCUUGCCCCCCUGCCGGGGUCUGAGGGCGGCGUGUCCUGUAAAGCGCUGCAAAGAGCUACAGCCUUGUGCAUGCUGCUGUGGAGGCUGCCGGUGCAACAGAUAUCUAGGGCCAACACUCCCCAGCGCGUUUCUC